UUUAAGUUUUUAACGUGCCGAGUUUCGUCUCUUUAUACUCCAUGUGGUUCUGCCCCGACAAACGGGACAGGUCCAUCCCCKGCUCGCACACUCCCUUACAUGCUCAAUCCACACAGGAAGAAGCAGAAGUUUUAACCAUCUUCCCAUGGCAUCUGACUUUUUUGAGGAGGAGGACUUUUCAGCCAUUUGAUCGAAGGGAAAUGAGAAGUUUGUUUCAAGACUCUUACGUUGUUCAGUUCUGUUAACAAAUGUGGGGCUUGAGGAUACAUUUGCUGCUUCUCUUCAUUUUUGCUGAAGAUUGCACCUAAGAGAGAAGCAGAGUGGUCCACAGUGCGAAAAAUGAACCCAGCAGCCCAUCCUAUCCUGUACCUGCCUGAACAUGGGAAGAGACCUAGUACAAAGCCAGAAGAGACCUAGUACAAAGCCAGAAUGCAUCUGGGCUUGCAGUCUUUUUAACCAUAUUAAGUUCUGUUCAGAGUUAAUGAUGAGCUCAGUGAGAUGGUCUCAGCAAUGCUGAAGAAGGGAAGAAYAGACUUGGAAGGCAGGAGCUAUUUCAUAGCCGCAUUCUUCAUCUUUUUGUGAUGCCCAAUCAUGAAGACUUUAUAAACUUCAUUAGAUCCUGCCAUCAAUGACUGAGCCUCCCUGAAAUCUUCUUAUCAGUUACUGCCAAGAUGAGAAGGAUAACAGGAAGGAGGAGUGCUUAAGUGGCUUUAAUGACAGUUAAUUUCUUCUGUUUGUCAAAUGACAGGUUGUUUUUUCCUCAAAACUCUAUUGUCAUGACAAGAUGCUUUUGGAAGUCAUCUUUGUAAAAUAAAACUGACAAUUUUUAGGCUACAAAGAGCUAUUGUAUCUUUCUAUAGAAUGUUGUCAUUAUGGUAAACUGCUGGAAAGUCUUAAUUUUUGAAGCAAUUUAACUUGAAUACUUCAUUCAUGUAUUUGAAUGUCUGUUGAAUGCCAUGUGAAAAGUUUCUUGCCAGAGUUCUUUUAUUCAAUGGAAUAAUUAUUCUUACAAUGCUCAGUUUAUUAUUGUCUAAAUUACUGUUUCUGUAGCCUCCUGCAAAAAUGUUUCUUUUUAGUAAUUCUUAAACAAAUAAGGAAUGAAUGCGUUUUUGUCCCCUUUGUCUUUUGAUCAGGAUAUUUUGCCUUUCAGUGAAAAUGUCUUCAGUUUUUGGAAUGACACAAAACAAAGAAAGGUGCUUUGGUAUUUGGGUUUUUUUUUUUCCCCAACAGCACAUGUCUUUUGUGCAAUGAUUUUUUUAAUAURUACACUGCCAAGACACAAUUACUGGAAGGAGAGAGAGAAGCUGUUGGGAAUGUCAUGUUAUGCCAAAUUAAGAAUUAUUAGCUCUUACUUUCUGUGCAAUCUCUUCGACUAGAACUCGACCUAUUGCGUCUGGUGUAUACUUUGACUCUAGUGGAACUAAUGUGUCCUUGGAGUAGCAUUUCAGAGUAACUUCAGAUUCAUGGUUUUUCACACGUCUGCUUUAAACUGCUGGGAUUAACUUCAGAGAAGGCGAGAGAUACAGGCUCCUUUGUCAGCAGCUGUGCUGGUUAAAGGAGGCUUCAUGCACACUUGCUUGCUCAUUCUGUCCCUGCUAGGGAAGGAAACUCAACUGUUUCCCUGAGCACACCCAGACUWAUUUCAGCCCAAGUUAAUCAUGUUAUCAAAUAUUAGUUACCCAGCACCCUGGGUCACUUUGAUGAAGGACAGGGAGUAYACAGACCAGCUGUGCAGACAUCAUGUCUGGGAAGGGUGGUGUGUUGACAAGAGGGUUGUUGAGGACGGGCCCUGGUGUGUCACCUUUCCAGCAGGUGCAGUUACAUCUCUCAGAUGUGGUAAUAAUUGGACGUGUUAGAAAGCUGUGCAGAUCUGACAUGCAUAAUAUUCACAUUUCGGGGACAUCCUGUAUCAUACAAAAUAAACCUGUGCUCUUUGACUUACUCCUUGAGCAUGCCAGUGUGAGGGGAGAGACUUGGUGUGAGUGUGUGUACAUAACAAACCUAUUUCAGGAAAAUUAUCUGGUCAAGGUGUGGGAAUGAUACAAGUGUUUCCAUUAUCUCCAGAACAUGCUGUUUACUCAUCAAAGAGGCUGCCUCAGCCAGCACAUGCCUCAGGAGAACUGCUUUUGACACACGAGAUGCCUCUUGAGAAGGGAGAACACCUCCAGCAGGAAUGGCUGCUGUUGCUUCUCUGCAGUGUUGAAUCAGAGAUGCUCGAGUCUGCUAUGAAAGAAGGUGAAAAUGAGGUCUGGAGAAUGGASAGUGGCUUUGUUUUUCAUCGCUGAAGACUCUGUAAGACACUGUAAGUCCACUGAUGCCUGUGGUACACAGACCAUCUCCUGCCUGCUAAUUAGGCCUCUCCAGUGCACUCUCUAGMAAUGUGCUGGAGAAGUUUUUUUCAAAAAACCACCAUGCCAUCAUAAAUAAGGGAACGGUACAGUAUGUAACUAUUACACACCGCUCAUUUGGCAGACUAUAAUUUAAUAGAACAACAAUGAUCAGACCAGUAUAUCAGUUAAUUUUCAAAACAUUUUAUUCCACGCAAAUUAGCUCAGGUCCUGGAGGGCAAAAUGACAAGAGGUUACUCGUAGACUAUGUAUUUAAUUAAUUGAAAAAUGCUCAAAUUGCUUUUACAGUUGUUAUUAAAAAGUAGAAUCAGUGUUGCCAGUGCUCAACCAUAAUUAGAACCCCRGGGAAUUAAAUAUUUAGCAUUAGUAAUGUAACAGCACUUAGGACACAAAUUUCUAUUUUUGUAAUGAAAGCAAUACAGUGUAAGUGCAAAUGGCUGAAACGACAGCUGUGACAAGGCAACCAGCCUGGGAUAUUUCAAUAAGACACCUCGUUGGACAGCGAGUCUUACUGCAUUACUCGUUUGUAAGAGUCUAAAUCCCAAUAGCCAGGCAUUACACCCAGUAUUUAGAUUUCUAAUUGCUCACAGGAUGAACGCUCGGGCAAAUGUCAGCAGUCGGUGUGGGGAGCACACGGCGAUUUCCCAAAGAAGGAGGCAGAGGUGGGUGCCUUUGGCCGAGCGGCCAGGGCUGGGGCACGUCCCAGGGCAGCCGAGGGGGGAAACCAGACCUUGUUUGUUUUAAGUUUAAUUACAUUUUAAACAUAAGUGCUUUCAGUGAUACAACAUGAAAAGUCGGAUAUUGGGCUCUAAUGAGCUGUAGUGGUAGAUGGCUGGAGACCCUGAGGGAUUCAUUCACUAAAUUAACUGGAUAACAGUACUUGGUUUGGGCACGGCAGGAUGGCUGAGCUGUGCUUAAAAUCUCCCUUUCAGAGCUGUCUCUCAUUCCUGUUUUCCUUCUAAACAGUCUGAGUAGGGACUUCCAGAGCCGCCUGCUACAACUGUUCAGCUUGUCAGAAGUAUUA